rnacentral:rRNA from 1 species
UAGCGACAGGCUUAACACAUGCAAGUCGAGGGGCUUCACAGGUAGCAAUACCGGGUGGCGACCGGCGCACGGGUGAGUAACGCGUAUGCAACUUGCCUAUCAGAGGGGGAUAACCCGGCGAAAGUCGGACUAAUACCGCAUGAAGCAGGGAUCCCGCAUGGGAAUAUUUGCUAAAGAUUCAUCGCUGAUAGAUAGGCAUGCGUUCCAUUAGGCAGUUGGCGGGGUAACGGCCCACCAAACCGACGAUGGAUAGGGGUUCUGAGAGGAAGGUCCCCCACAUUGGUACUGAGACACGGACCAAACUCCUACGGGAGGCAGCAGUGAGGAAUAUUGGUCAAUGGCCGAGAGGCUGAACCAGCCAAGUCGCGUGAGGGAUGAAGGUUCUAUGGAUCGUAAACCUCUUUUAUAAGGGAAUAAAGUGCGGGACGUGUCCCGUUUUGUAUGUACCUUAUGAAUAAGGAUCGGCUAACUCCGUGCCAGCAGCCGCGGUAAUACGGAGGAUCCGAGCGUUAUCCGGAUUUAUUGGGUUUAAAGGGUGCGUAGGCGGCCUUUUAAGUCAGCGGUGAAAGUCUGUGGCUCAACCAUAGAAUUGCCGUUGAAACUGGGGGGCUUGAGUAUGUUUGAGGCAGGCGGAAUGCGUGGUGUAGCGGUGAAAUGCAUAGAUAUCACGCAGAACCCCGAUUGCGAAGGCAGCCUGCCAAGCCAUUACUGACGCUGAUGCACGAAAGCGUGGGGAUCAAACAGGAUUAGAUACCCUGGUAGUCCACGCAGUAAACGAUGAUCACUAGCUGUUUGCGAUACACUGUAAGCGGCACAGCGAAAGCGUUAAGUGAUCCACCUGGGGAGUACGCCGGCAACGGUGAAACUCAAAGGAAUUGACGGGGGCCCGCACAAGCGGAGGAACAUGUGGUUUAAUUCGAUGAUACGCGAGGAACCUUACCCGGGUUUGAACGCAUUCGGACCGAGGUGGAAACACCUUUUCUAGCAAUAGCCGUUUGCGAGGUGCUGCAUGGUUGUCGUCAGCUCGUGCCGUGAGGUGUCGGCUUAAGUGCCAUAACGAGCGCAACCCUUGCCACUAGUUACUAACAGGUAAAGCUGAGGACUCUGGUGGGACUGCCAGCGUAAGCUGCGAGGAAGGCGGGGAUGACGUCAAAUCAGCACGGCCCUUACAUCCGGGGCGACACACGUGUUACAAUGGCGUGGACAAAGGGAGGCCACCUGGCGACAGGGAGCGAAUCCCCAAACCACGUCUCAGUUCGGAUCGGAGUCUGCAACCCGACUCCGUGAAGCUGGAUUCGCUAGUAAUCGCGCAUCAGCCAUGGCGCGGUGAAUACGUUCCCGGGCCUUGUACACACCGCCCGUCAAGCCAUGGGAGCCGGGGGUACCUGAAGUCCGUAACCGCGAGGAUCGGCCUAGGGUAAAACUGGUGACU